rnacentral:rRNA from 1 species
UUUAAGUGUAAUUUUAAAAACUAAAUUAGUAAUAGUUAUGUUCUUGAAAAUUAAAGAUUUUGGCGGUAUUUUAGUCUAUUCAGAGGAACCUGUUCUGUAAUCGAUAAUCCACGAUUUAAUUUACUUUUUUUGUUAAUUUACAUAUCGUCGUAAUUUGAAUAUUUUAUAAGAAUUAUAAUAUUCAAGAAUUUUUAUAAAAAAAUAAAUCAGAUCAAGGUGUAGUAUAUGGAAAAGAAGAAAUGGGUUACAUUAAAUAUAAUUUAAGAUUAUUAUUUUUAAAAUAAUAUGAAUUUGGAUUUGAAAGUAAUUUUAAUUAUUUUGUUAAUUUGAUUUUAGCUCUAAAAUAUGU